rnacentral:sRNA from 1 species
GCCAUAGGGAGGCCAGGCGUGGAGGCGGCACCGGGCUCGGAGCUGGCCAGGGUCCCCUCGCCUAUGGAGCACACAGCCACCACAGGCCCCAGGCCUGGACCUCCCCCUCGGCGGGUGGAGAAUGUUGUGCUACCAGCCAAGGACUGGCUGCCAGGACCUCCUGGGGGCACCGCAGUGUGGGCCACCAGCUCGGAAGCAGAGGUCCCACCAGAUCUAGCGCUCAAUAAGGAGCAGCAGUUGCAGAUCUCCAAGGAGCUGGUCGACAUUCAGAUCACAACCCACCACCUACAGGAGCAGCACGAGGCUGAAAUCUUCCAGCUGAAGAGUGAGAUCCUUUGGCUGGAGAGCCGAGUGCUGGAGCUGGAGCUGCAUGGAGAUCCCACCAGCCAGGGCUGUGCAGUCCCAGUGGAGUCUGACCCCAGGCACCCCCGGGCACCAGCCCAAGAGCUCAGACACAAAGCCCGGGUGCCUGGACACUCUGAUGAUCGCAGAUUCCAGGUGCAGCCCAAGAACGCCGUGAACCCCGAGAACGAGCAGCACAGCCUGGGGAGCGGCCUGCUGGGGGGCCAGGAGCAGCUGCAGGGAGAAGUGAAGUGGGCGCUGGAGCGUCAAGAGGCCCGGCAGCAGGCACUGGAGAUGCGUGUGUGAGUGGCCAUCUCACCUGGGGCCCCAUCCCGGAGCAGAGAGAACUCCUCAUCGUGGGCCUGCUGAGCCUUGCCCCCGUGUCUUCAGGGCAGCCCUGGGCCGGCAGCUGCAGGGAGCCCGAGAGGAGGCCAGGGCAGCCGGGCAGCGACUAGCCACACAGGCUGUGGUGCUGUGCAGCUGCCGAGGCCAGCUCCAUCAGGCAGAGGCCGAGAACGCCCGGCUGCAGCUGCAGCUCAAGAAACUGAAGGACGAGUAUGUCCUGCGGCUGCAGCACUGCGCCCGGGAGGCAGUGGUGAGCCCUGCAGGAGCACCCUGAGGCCUAGGGAGCCCAAACUUGGCCUGGGUGUGCUGGAUAGCUUCAGGGAGACCCCAGGGCUCUGGCACUGCUCAGCCUGCUGGUGUGGGGGGAUGGUUAGAAAAGAUGGGGGGUGGGUCCCAUGCGGACCCAGCCCGCCACCUCCAGGAGCACGCAGAUGGUACAGGCCAAGCGCCAGCUACCACGGCCCUCCGGACAUUCCUGGAGGCGACUCUGGAGGACAUCCGGGCAGCGCACCGCAGCCGUGAGCAGCAACUGGCCCGGGCUGCCCGCACCUACCACAAGAGGCUGGUGGAUCUCAGCCGCAGGCAUGAGGAGUUGCUGGUUGCCUACAGGGCACCUGGGAACCCCCAAGCUAUUUUUGACGCAGCCAGCUUGGACCUGGAACCAUUGCCCGUGCCCCUGGUCACUGACUUCAGCCAUCGGGAGGACCAGCAUGGGGCACUGCUCUCAUCCCCAAAGAAGGGACCCGGUGGAGCCUCCCAGGGAGGAACGUCAGAGCCACAGGGCCUGGACGCUGCAUCCUGGGCCCAGAUCCACCAGAAGCUCCGGGACUUCUUCCGCAGCACCCAGGUAGGAGGCAAGGGCUGGCCCAGGCCCCUCCUCACACCAUGCCCCAGCUCAUGGCUUACACCCCCAUGCCAGGCAGAGCUGGAACGGGAGCGGGCACAGCUGCUGGUCCGGGCCACGAUGGCUGAAGAGCAACUUUCUGAGCUACAGGAGUACGUGGACCAGCACCUGGGCAGGUACAAACACGAAAUCCUGAGGCUGAGGAAGCUGGCAGGUGCAGGGGACCCCUGGAAAGUGGGGGCUGUGCCUCCAGCCAAGCCCCAGCAUCCAAGGACCGGCAGCCACUAGGCCGUCUCCCAAGGAGCAGAGCAGAGCCCGUCACAGCCAGCACGGAGCCCUCCCACCCAGCCCCCCAUGAAACAUGAGUCAGGAUACAACCCA